rnacentral:rRNA from 1 species
AUGCACGCUGGCGGCGUGCCUCAUCCCUGCAAGUCGAGCGAACGGACGAGAAGCUUGCUUCUCUGAUGUUAGCGGCGGACGGGUGAGUAACACGUGGAUAACCUACCUAUAAGACUGGGAUAACUUCGGGAAACCGUAGCUAAUACCGGAUAAUAUUUUGAACCGCAUGGUUCAAAAGUGAAAGACGGUCUUGCUGUCACUUAUAGAUGGAUCCGCGCUGCAUUAGCUAGUUGGUAAGGUAACGGCUUACCAAGGCAACGAUGCAUAGCCGACCUGAGAGGGUGAUCGGCCACACUGGAACUGAGACACGGUCCAGACUCCUACGGGAGGCAGCAGUAGGGAAUCUUCCGCAAUGGGCGAAAGCCUGACGGAGCAACGCCGCGUGAGUGAUGAAGGUCUUCGGAUCGUAAAACUCUGUUAUUAGGGAAGAACAUAUGUGUAAGUAACUGUGCACAUCUUGACGGUACCUAAUCAGAAAGCCACGGCUAACUACGUG